GUUGGUGUUUAUAUCGGUGAGGGUCCACCCGUUCCCAUUCCGAACACGGAAGUUAAGCUCACCUGUGCCGACAAUACUAUACUGGAGACGGUCUGGGAAGAUAGGUCAAUGCCAACA
rnacentral:rRNA from 1 species